rnacentral:rRNA from 1 species
GGAGCUUGCUUUAUAUAACUUAGCAGCGAACGUGUGGUGAGUAACACGUAGAUAAUCUAUCCUAUACUGGGGGAUAGCCCGAGGAAAGUUGGAUUAAUACCGCAUAUAGCUAUAUAGUUGCAUGAUUAUGUAGUGAAAGAUUUAUUGGUAUAGGAGGAGUCUGCGGCACAUUAGCUAGUAGGUGAGGUAAAGGCUUACCUAGGCGACGAUGUGUAGCCGGUCUGAGAGGAUGAACGGCCACAAUGGAACUGAGACACGGUCCAUACUCCUACGGGAGGCAGCAGUGGGGAAUAUUGCACAAUGGGGGAAACCCUGAUGCAGCAACGCCGCGUGAGUGAAGAAGGUUUUCGGAUUGUAAAGCUCUGUUAGCAGGGAAGAGGAAGGACGGUACCUGCAGAGGAAGCCACGGCUAACUACGUGCCAGCAGCCGCGGUAAUACGUAGGUGGCAAGCGUUGUUCGGAAUAACUGGGCGUAAAGGAUGCGUAGGCGGUUAAACAAGUUAUAUGUUAAAUAUAUAGGCUUAACCUGUAGAAAGCAUAUAAAACUGUUUAACUAGAGUGCAGGAGAGGUAAGUGGAAUUCCUAGUGUAGCGGUGAAAUGCGUAGAGAUUAGGAAGAACACCAGUGGCGAAGGCGACUUACUGGACUGUAACUGACGCUGAGGCA